rnacentral:rRNA from 1 species
UACGAAGGUCCCAAGCGUUAUCCGGAUUUAUUUGGGUUUAAAGGGUGCGUAGGCGGUCUAUUUAAGUCAGUGGUGAAAGCCCCAGCUCAACUUGGGAACUGCCAUUGAUACUGAUGGACUUGAGUACAUUUGAGGUGGGCGGAAUGUGUCAUGUAGCGGUGAAAUGCUUUAGAUAUGACACAGAACACCGAUUGCGAAGGCAGCUCACUAAACUGUAAACUGACGCUGAGGCACGAAGGCGUGGGGAGCAAACAGG